rnacentral:rRNA from 1 species
GAUGAACGCUGGCGGCGUGCCUAAUACAUGCAAGUCGAGCGAACAGACGAGGAGCUUGCUCCUCUGACGUUAGCGGCGGACGGGUGAGUAACACGUGGAUAACCUACCUAUAAGACUGGGAUAACUUCGGGAAACCGGAGCUAAUACCGGAUAACAUGUUGAACCGCAUGGUUCAACAGUGAAAGACGGUCUUGCUGUCACUUAUAGAUGGAUCCGCGCCGCAUUAGCUAGUUGGUAAGGUAACGGCUUACCAAGGCAACGAUGCGUAGCCGACCUGAGAGGGUGAUCGGCCACACUGGAACUGAGACACGGUCCAGACUCCUACGGGAGGCAGCAGUAGGGAAUCUUCCGCAAUGGGCGAAAGCCUGACGGAGCAACGCCGCGUGAGUGAAGAAGGUCUUCGGAUCGUAAAACUCUGUUAUUAGGGAAGAACAAAUGUGUAAGUAACUAUGCACGUCUUGACGGUACCUAAUCAGAAAGCCACGGCUAACUACGG